GCCAGGCACUGUGGUGUAUGCCUGUAAUCCCAGUCACUUCAGAGGCUGAGGCAGGAGGAUCGCGAGUUCAAUGCUAGCAUCAGCAAAAGCGAGAUGCCAAUCAACAGUGAGACCCUGUGUCUA
rnacentral:sRNA from 1 species